UACGUAGGGUGCAAGCGUUGUCCGGAAUUAUUGGGCGUAAAGAGCUCGUAGGCGGUUUGUCGCGUCUGCUGUGAAAAUCCAGGGCUUAACCCUGGACCUGCAGUGGGUACGGGCAGACUGGAGUGCGGUAGGGGAGAUCGGAAUUCCUGGUGUAGCGGUGAAAUGCGCAGAUAUCAGGAGGAACACCGGUGGCGAAGGCGGAUCUCUGGGCAUUAACUGACGCUGACACGCGAAAGCUAGGGGAGCGAACGGG
rnacentral:rRNA from 1 species